UACGAAGGGGGCUAGCGUUGCUCGGAAUCACUGGGCGUAAAGCGCACAUAGGCGGAUUGUUAAGUCAGGGGUGAAAUCCUGGAGCUCAACUCCAGAACUGCCUUUGAUACUGGCGAUCUUGAGUCCGGGAGAGGUGAGUGGAACUGCGAGUGUAGAGGUGAAAUUCGUAGAUAUUCGCAAGAACACCAGUGGCGAAGGCGGCUCACUGGCCCGGUACUGACGCUGAGGUGCGAAAGCGUGGGGAGCAAACAGGG
rnacentral:rRNA from 1 species